CCAGCAACUUGGAGGAAUGUAUAGCGAAAGCUAGUUGCAUUUAACUUAGCAAAAGCUAAGUUGAUGCAGGAUUGACUAUGUCAAAUAAAGUUCUAGGUGGGUUAUGAUGAUGACAUUUCCUAUCUAUGUGUCUUGACCAAAUUACGUGCCAGCAGUCGCGGUAACACGUAAAAGACUAGUGUUAUUCAUCUUUAAUAGGUUUAAAGGGUACCUAGACGGUAAAUCAAGUCCAAAAAGGGUACUAAUUUUACUAGAGUUUAAUAUGAGGGGGCACUAAAGUACUGAUAAGUGUAGAGAUGAAAUUCUGUGAUACAAUAUACGGCACUGGUAAAGGCGAAAGCAUCUCAUUAUGUAAUAACUGACGUUGAGGGACGAAGGCUAGGUGUAGCAAAAAGGAUUAGAUACCCAAGUAGUCUUAGCAGAAAAUUAUGAAUGUCAUAGGAUGGAAAGUUGGAUGGACAAACAACAAAUUUUUUUUUCUAUAAAUGAAAGUGUAAGCAUUCCACCUCGAGAGUAAUUUGGCAACAUUGGAACUGAAAUCAUUAGACCGUUUCUGAAACAAGUAGUGAAGUAUGUUGUUUAAUUUGAUGGUCCGCAAAAAACCUUNCCACAAUUUGAAUAGAAAAAUUUUUUUUCAUACAAGCGCUGCACGGUUGUCUUCAGUUAAUGUCGUGAGAUCUUGGUUAGUUCCAUUAAAUUAACGUAAACCCUUACUCUAUUUUUAUAUAGAGUAGUUCACCGCUAGAUUGG
rnacentral:rRNA from 1 species